rnacentral:rRNA from 1 species
GGGGGGGGGGGGGGGGGGGGGGGGGGGGGGGGGGGCGGGGGGGGGGGCGCGGCGGGUGGGGGGGGCGCGGGGGGCGAGCGGGUGAGUAGCACGGGCGUGACCUGCCGUUGACUUUGGGAUAGCUUCAGGAAACUGGGGCUAAUACCGGAUAGGAGCUCCUGCUGCAUGGUGGGGGGUGGACAGUUUCGGCGGUUGGGGAUGGACUCGCGGCUUAUCAGCUUGUUGGUGGGGUAGUGGCUUACCAAGGCUUUGCCGGGUAGCCGGCCUGAGAGGGUGACCGGCCACAUUGGGACUGAGAUACGGCCCAGACUCCUACGGGAGGCAGCAGUGGGGAAUAUUGCACAAUGGGCGGAAGCCUGAUGCAGCAACGCCGCGUGCGGGAUGACGGCCUUCGGGUUGUAAACCGCUUUCGCCUGUGACGAAGCGUGAGUGACGGUAAUGGGUAAAGAAGCACCGGCUAACUACGUG